CCUACGGGAGGCAGCAGUAGGGAAUUUUCGUCAAUGGGCGCAAGCCCGAACGAGCGAUGCCGCGUGAGUGAAGAAGGCCUUUGGGUCGUAAAGCUCUGUUGCGGGGGAAAAAAGGCAGCAUCAGGAAAUGGGUGCUGACUGAUGGUGCCCCGCCAGAAAGUCACGGCUAACUACGUGCCAGCAGCCGCGGUAAUACGUAGGUGGCGAGCGUUAUCCGGAAGGAUUGGGCGUAAAGGGUGCGCAGGCGGUCCUGCAAGUCUGGAGUGAAACGCAUGAGCUCAACUCAUGCAUGGCUUUGGAAACUGGAGGACUGGAGAGCAGGAGAGGGCGGUGGAACUCCAUGUGUAGCGGUAAAAUGCGUAGAUAUAUGGAAGAACACCAGUGGCGAAGGCGGCCGCCUGGCCUGUUGCUGACGCUGAGGCACGAAAGCGUGGGGAGCAAAUAGGAUUAGAUACCCUUGUAGUC
rnacentral:rRNA from 1 species